rnacentral:rRNA from 1 species
GAUGAACGCUGGCGGCGUGCCUAAUACAUGCAAGUCGAGCGAACGGACGAUAAGCGUGCUUUUCUGAUGUUAGCGGCGGACGGGUGAGUAACACGUGGAUAACCUACCUAUAAGACUGGGAUAACUUCGGGAAGCCGGAGCUAAUACCGGAUAAUAUUUUGAACCGCAGGGAGCAAAAGUGAAUGGCGGUCUUGCUGUCACUUAUAGAUGGAUCCGCGCUGCAUUAGCUAGUUGGUAAGGUAACGGCUUACCAAGGCAACGAUGCAUAGCCGACCUGAGAGGGUGAUCGGCCACACUGGAACUGAGACACGGUCCAGACUCCUACGGGAGGCAGCAGUAGGGAAUCUUCCGCAAUGGGCGAAAGCCUGACGGAGCAACGCCGCGUGAGUGAUGAAGGUCUUCGGAUCGUAAAGCUCUGUUAUUAGGGAAGAACAUAUGUGUAAGUAACUGUGCACAUCUUGACGGUACCUAAUCAGAAAGCAACGGCUAACUACGUG